UUAUAGUCCGGAUAUAUUAAAAACAGAUGUAUGUUUUAUCCUUUAAUGAACACAUUAAGAGCUUUAAACAUGUAUAUUUGUGUAGUUUAGAUUCAGCACGUUAAAUAGUUAUUUACCCAAUUAUGCGACUUUGCUGCAAGAUGACUUGCUGUAAUAUUUAUAGGAUUUCUGGAGAAGUUUGAAUUUUUCUUUUGCAUUUCAUUGACUGUCACAUUGUCUAAAAGGUAUAUCCAUCUGUUUGUCCACGAUCAUCCAUCUAUCCAAUUAAGUAUCAAAUUUCUGCUGUUAGCUCAAAGUGAAUUUUGUUUUUAUAUUUUAAAAAUUACCCCAAAAAGGCCUGAGAGAUUUUUAAAUUUGUGCCUGAAAACAUAAAGAAGAUUGACAAGGCAAGACCCUAUAAGAACAUAUUUUCUAAAACGCUUUACAUGACUAGAAAGAAAAAUAAAACAACAAUAAAAUCACAUUGCAAUGACAAAAUGCAAGGAUAAACAAUGAUGUACAUCAUAAAGUGAACAUCAUCAUAAAGUAGACUUUAUGAUGUUCCAGGUAUUAUUAAUCAAAGGCAUCUCUAAGCAAAAUGGAUUUAGCCUUGAUUUAAAAAACUGUGUUUAAUCAGUUUUGCAGUUUUCUAUAAGUGUGUUCCAGAUUAGUGAAGUAUAAAAACUGAAUGGUGCUUUUAUCAUUGUAUUUGAUUAAAAGUAUAGGAAGAUGUUUAUUUCCUUUGUGGAUUCUAAUUCAUUUCAUGAAGCAAAAAAUAAAUAAAUACAAGCUUUACAGGCAUAAAAGUGCUGUCCAUUGCUUCACAUAAUCCUGUCUAUGCUUCCUCUUCCAGGAGCUGGAGCAGAUCUUGACAUGGCUGACUGAGGAAGGUUUUGCACCUGAGGCCUCCGGCGUACCUUCCUUCACACACGAAGCUGUCUGGACAGUGUGACUAAGGAUCUGGGAACAAAACGCUUGCAACAUUUUGCAGAGAUGGCAGAGGUACGCAAGUCCUUGGAGCAGAUCAAAAUCUUCACAGAGCAGAAAGACGUUUUGGCUCAGGAGAUACAAGAUGAGAACGAACAACUCAGAAAGCAGCUGCUGCACCUCGUUUCACUGCAAGAUUCCCAGAUAAAUGAAGUUGCUAAAAUGUUGUACCAGCAGGGUCUCACUGAGCUGAUUCACAGCUCCCCCAGUGAGCAGGUGGCGUAUCUCCUGGUGGAGAGGGCUUCCCUGCUUGAGAUGAAUCAGGAUCCUGGUGAUGGAGACCCAGAGAGUCGACUGAGGACCCACGCAGAACCACUGAACCCCGUCAUAUGUGCGCCCACCCACAAGAGGUCCCCACGACCUUUACAAAGCUCCUGGAAGAAAAUAUUUGGACUCCAUAAGACUUUGCAGAGCAAGCACACCUUCGUACCUUGAUACUAAUCUUGCCAACAGCAGAUAAACUUUGCAUGACAGAAGUUCAAGGUCCAACACCACUCAUGCAUCUUUCUCCAGAUCGUAUCUCAAGGGUGGGGAGACACCUUUGGCCGGUGAACCAAGACGUUUGGAGAAGGAGUGUUCCCGACUGGAGCGGGAUGUGGAAGAAGGUUCCCGCAGGUUGGCCAUGGCCCACAACGAGAUCCGGCAUUUGAAAGAUGAACUGGAGUCUGCUCAGAAUUGGUCUCUGCUCGGAUCAGACCUCUCUGCUCGCAUGCAAAUUCUUUUCUGCUCUUUUGGAAGAAAAAGUACCGUUGCCUGGCAACCUCUCAGCCAAUAGAAUAAAAGUGUUGUACUGGG